rnacentral:rRNA from 1 species
GGUUAAGCGACUAAGCGUACACGGUGGAUGCCCUGGCAGUCAGAGGCGAUGAAGGACGUGCUAAUCUGCGAAAAGCGUCGGUAAGGUGAUAUGAACCGUUAUAACCGGCGAUGUCCGAAUGGGGAAACCCAGUGCAAUUCGUUGCACUAUCGUUAACUGAAUACAUAGGUUAACGAGGCGAACCGGGGGAACUGAAACAUCUAAGUACCCCGAGGAAAAGAAAUCAACCGAGAUUCCCCCAGUAGCGGCGAGCGAACGGGGAGCAGCCCAGAGUCUGAAUCAGCUUGUGUGUUAGUGGAACGGUCUGGAAAGUCCGACGGUACAGGGUGAUAGUCCCGUACACCAAAAUGCACAGGUUGUGAACUCGAAGAGUAGGGCGGGACACGUGGUAUCCUGUCUGAAUAUGGGGGGACCAUCCUCCAAGGCUAAAUACUCCUGACUGACCGAUAGUGAACCAGUACCGUGAGGGAAAGGCGAAAAGAACCCCGGCGAGGGGAGUGAAAAAGAACCUGAAACCGUGUACGUACAAGCAGUGGGAGCACCUUCGGGUGUGACUGCGUACCUUUUGUAUAAUGGGUCAGCGACUUAUAUUCUGUAGCAAGGUUAACCGUAUAGGGGAGCCGCAGGGAAACCGAGUCUUAACUGGGCGUUAAGUUGCAGGGUAUAGACCCGAAACCCGGUGAUCUAGCCAUGGGCAGGUUGAAGGUUGGGUAACACUAACUGGAGGACCGAACCGACUAAUGUUGAAAAAUUAGCGGAUGACUUGUGGCUGGGGGUGAAAGGCCAAUCAAACCGGGAGAUAGCUGGUUCUCCCCGAAAGCUAUUUAGGUAGCGCCUCGUGAAUUCAUCUUCGGGGGUAGAGCACUGUUUCGGCUAGGGGGUCAUCCCGACUUACCAACCCGAUGCAAACUACGAAUACCGAAGAAUGUUAUCACGGGAGACACACGGCGGGUGCUAACGUCCGUCGUGAAGAGGGAAACAACCCAGACCGCCAGCUAAGGUCCCAAAGUCAUGGUUAAGUGGGAAACGAUGUGGGAAGGCACAGACAGCCAGGAUGUUGGCUUAGAAGCAGCCAUCAUUUAAAGAAAGCGUAAUAGCUCACUGGUCGAGUCGGCCUGCGCGGAAGAUGUAACGGGGCUAAACCAUGCACCGAAGCUGCGGCAGCGACACUAUGUGUUGUUGGGUAGGGGAGCGUUCUGUAAGCCUGCGAAGGUGUGCUGUGAGGCAUGCUGGAGGUAUCAGAAGUGCGAAUGCUGACAUAAGUAACGAUAAAGCGGGUGAAAAGCCCGCUCGCCGGAAGACCAAGGGUUCCUGUCCAACGUUAAUCGGGGCAGGGUGAGUCGACCCCUAAGGCGAGGCCGAAAGGCGUAGUCGAUGGGAAACAGGUUAAUAUUCCUGUACUUGGUGUUACUGCGAAGGGGGGACGGAGAAGGCUAUGUUAGCCGGGCGACGGUUGUCCCGGUUUAAGCAUGUAGGCUGGUUGUCCAGGCAAAUCCGGAUAAUCAAGGCUGAGGUGUGAUGACGAGGCACUACGGUGCUGAAGUAACAAAUGCCCUGCUUCCAGGAAAAGCCUCUAAGCAUCAGGUAACAUUAAAUCGUACCCCAAACCGACACAGGUGGUCAGGUAGAGAAUACCAAGGCGCUUGAGAGAACUCGGGUGAAGGAACUAGGCAAAAUGGUGCCGUAACUUCGGGAGAAGGCACGCUGGUGUGUAGGUGAAGUCCCUGCGGAUGGAGCUGAGACCAGUCGAAGAUACCAGCUGGCUGCAACUGUUUAUUAAAAACACAGCACUGUGCAAACACGAAAGUGGACGUAUACGGUGUGACGCCUGCCCGGUGCCGGAAGGUUAAUUGAUGGGGUUAUCCGUAAGGAGAAGCUCUUGAUCGAAGCCCCGGUAAACGGCGGCCGUAACUAUAACGGUCCUAAGGUAGCGAAAUUCCUUGUCGGGUAAGUUCCGACCUGCACGAAUGGCGUAAUGAUGGCCAGGCUGUCUCCACCCGAGACUCAGUGAAAUUGAACUCGCUGUGAAGAUGCAGUGUACCCGCGGCAAGACGGAAAGACCCCGUGAACCUUUACUAUAGCUUGACACUGAACAUUGAGCCUUGAUGUGUAGGAUAGGUGGGAGGCUUUGAAGCGUGGACGCCAGUCUGCGUGGAGCCAACCUUGAAAUACCACCCUUUAAUGUUUGAUGUUCUAACGUUGGCCCCUUACCGGGGUUGCGGACAGUGUCUGGUGGGUAGUUUGACUGGGGCGGUCUCCUCCCAAAGCGUAACGGAGGAGCACGAAGGUUAGCUAAUCCUGGUCGGACAUCAGGAGGUUAGUGCAAUGGCAUAAGCUAGCUUGACUGCGAGCGUGACGGCGCGAGCAGGUGCGAAAGCAGGUCAUAGUGAUCCGGUGGUUCUGAAUGGAAGGGCCAUCGCUCAACGGAUAAAAGGUACUCCGGGGAUAACAGGCUGAUACCGCCCAAGAGUUCAUAUCGACGGCGGUGUUUGGCACCUCGAUGUCGGCUCAUCACAUCCUGGGGCUGAAGUAGGUCCCAAGGGUAUGGCUGUUCGCCAUUUAAAGUGGUACGCGAGCUGGGUUUAGAACGUCGUGAGACAGUUCGGUCCCUAUCUGCCGUGGGCGCUGGAGAAUUGAGGGGGGCUGCUCCUAGUACGAGAGGACCGGAGUGGACGCAUCACUGGUGUUCGGGUUGUCAUGCCAAUGGCACUGCCCGGUAGCUAAAUGCGGAAGAGAUAAGUGCUGAAAGCAUCUAAGCACGAAACUUGCCCCGAGAUGAGUUCUCCCUGAGACUUUAAGUCUCCUGAAGGAACGUU